ensembl:lncRNA
GGGAUAUUUCAUUACUUUAAAAACAAAACAGAACACACAAAAAAGCUGCCCUCCUUAUCCUCGAAGUGUGGAAGAAAGGCAGUCCUGUGACUUGAUUUCUGAGAACCUGAAAUGCUAUCUUCCCACCUGGAAUUGGACGCAGUGUAUUUAAAGGCCCUGUGGCGGCAGGCAUCCACAUGCGGCUGCUCAGAAAGUGCAGAGUCCUCAGGGAAGGGUCUUCUCUGCCCAGGUGUGAGGCUGUCCAUGGAAGAGCUCUGCACAGACCUCUGCGCACAGCUAGGUGCAGACCAAGACCGCUGAGGUGGCUUUGUGGCUCAUUUUUCUUCAGGGUAGGCAUGGGUGACACAGAAUGGACGUCACAGAGAGAUCUGCCCUCUGCAGAGGACACUCAGCAAGGUAGAUGUGCAGGAAAGGCAUUGGUUCACUGACUUCAGACCAGGGAGGGCACUGGACUGGGAGUGGGGAGUCCCUUUCGGUCACUGCUGCGGAAGGCUAAGGCCAGUGGGCUCUUCCCUGAGUGGCAGGUGAGGUCCCUGGGCCAUGGUUAGCCACCCUCAUGGCAGCCUUAGAGCAGUCUUCUGAAGAAGCCUGUGAGAGGGCCCUGCUCUCUUUUUACAGGCAAGGAAGUUGGCUGGGGGAACCCCUCGCUCCCUGCUGCGUGCGGGAAGCUCUAGGGGAAACUGGCUUCUUAGAUUUGGGGUAUCCCAGUCCUGCUGGACCAGGUCAACCCAGGACAAAAUGUAUUACAACCCCCGUAGAAACACAAGACUAACAUCUAGAGGCCACUUGGUUCUUCAGGGAGUCCAGAGAUCUGGCAGGUCCAGCAUCAGCCUAGCCAGUUUCCCUGUGUCCUCACUGGUGGCCCAGGAGGGUGGCAGUCCUGACUCACCUCUGACCCAGGUCAUAGCCCUGCAUACGUUUUCGGGGGGGGGGGAUUUCUCAUCCAUCUCCCUUCUAGGCAGGGUGGCCUCCAGGGACCUCGGCCAGGUUCCUUCCCUCUGUCCGGCCAGCCCAGGGUGUUCCUAACAUCCCCCAGUCCAAUGGAAGGGAGCCCACCUAGGGGAGGGAGAUCCCAGGCAGAUUCCUGGCACCCUGGGGUUGAUCGCCACCUAAAUUAACAUAGUCAGAAGCAGACUGCACUGCUCAGCUCAUAACUUAGCAUGAGUGCGGCCCCAAGUUUCACGCACUGCCCCGCCUCCAGCACAGCAAAACCCCAGCAAAGCAGCAAGGAAAACACAAAUACAUGCGGGAGGGCAAAGGAGCCUUUCAGGAGCUGGCCUGACAGCCAGUGUUCCUCUCCCUACUUAUUUAUUGCCAUCCUGCCCCAGGCCAUCAAAGGCACUGGCUCCAGGAUACCCUCUUUUGGGCUGGUGUCCUACACUCAAAAGCUGAGGCCCAAACCAUCCCCUCCUGAAUUUAACAUGUUCCCCUCCCUGGUCAGUCUGAUGAGCAACCACACAGAUCUGUCUGCAGAUUGCCCAGCUCAGUAACAGAGCCUCCCUGGGGCUUCAGCCCUCCUCUGCAGAGAUGGGCUAGGCCUCCUGGCUGGCACUUAGAUGGGACUUUGUAGGGAGGCAGUGUCUUUCCUGUCCCCAGUGAAGACAUCCAGAGCAAGGCGGACACAUUCUGCUCCAACCCUGCCCCCUCCCCUCCACUGCCCCCUCUCCUAGGAGAGUGAGUCAGAGGCGAGAGAGCCUUGGCAGCAGGCACAUCAAAGGUGUCCUCCUUUCCCAGAGCCCUAGAUGACAGGGCCUUGAUGACAUUAGGCAAUGUCGUCAGCACAGACAUUACCGGCGGGGCAUGCGCACACAGACGUGCUGGCCAGUAGCAUAUAAAGCAUCGUUUUUUUUCUUUUAAAAAAAAAAUGGGUUAAAUAAGCCUUGUGGUCAGGGGACGGUGCGCGCGCACGCUGAUUACCCUUGAUUUGUACGUCUUGGCGGUGAGACGGCUAGAAGUCUAAUGACUGAAUUAUCACUCUAAUGCCUUUUGCUGGCCGGGAACAAUCCUGGGGUAACAGCUGCCACAGGGCAUUUGGCUGGUUUCCUCUAAUUGCAUCCAGAUUAAGGUUGCUGUUCUGUGCGGGGCCUCUCUGCUCCUCAGAGCAGGGCAGAGCUCCGAGAGCCCACACACCAUGUCUGGCUGCAGAGGCUCCAGCUGGCCUGACGCUGAGGCAACACCGGGGUCCAGUAGUCCAUAGGACUAGAGGGGAUGCCUGGCACAAGGCUGUCAUUGAACAGCCUGGGUCAGGUCUUGGGGAGCAGUAGGAGGGGGGACCUGUGAGAGCUAGAGACUUAGAAUAAAUGCUCUCUGACUGAGAUGCUCCAGGGCAAGCGAGACUCUGGAUCUGCUCCUGCUGUCCCCACCCAACACAGCAAAGUGUAGAUACUGGGGUGCAGUACAAAAGUACUGGGGAGGGCUAGGGAAGGAGUUGGUUCCUUCCUGGAAAAGAGGGAUCUGUGUCCAGAUUUCCUGGGGUGGUGGGCUUGUGGAAUCCCUCUGAAUUACCAAGCUUCUGUCACAUGACUACCACAAGAAGGCCCCGAAACAAAGGUUUGCAUUCCCAAUGCUAGUUGUUGACUUCAGCCAUUCAACUUGAUUGGAUGGUGUCGUGGUUAGCGAGUGGGUAUGCACUUACAAAAACACCAUCCAUUUCUGCCUCCACUGUCAUAGGGUGACCUAAGGCCCAGAGGCCAGAGUGCUGUCUCACACCCAUAUACCUACCCACAGGGAUCUCAGAGAUGGUGACAACCCCAGAAGUAAUGAGCCAAACCACCCAAGACGAGAACCACCCAGCCUGGACUGCAGGCCCAGUCUCUGUGCCAGCCAGGUGCACAGAGUUCUAGGUCACUGAGGCUCUGCCCUGUUAUUUCUGUUCCCCGGGUGACAGGCGGUGGAUAUACCUGUUUGUGGCUCUAGCUUCCAGAAAGGAUCAGAAGUCAGUAUAGAAAGCAAUUCAGUGGAAAGGUCACUCCCAGGAUGGCACGGUCGCUCACAACGGAG